AGUGAACGCUGGCGGUAGGCUUAACACAUGCAAGUCGAACGGCAGCACAGUAAGAGCUUGCUCUUACGGGUGGCGAGUGGCGGACGGGUGAGGAAUACAUCGGAAUCUACUUUUUCGUGGGGGAUAACGUAGGGAAACUUACGCUAAUACCGCAUCCGACCUACGGGUGAAAGCAGGGGAUCUUCGGACCUUGCGCGAUUGAAUGAGCCGAUGUGGGAGUAGCUAGUUGGCGGGGUGAAGGCCCACCCAGGCGACGAUCCGUAGCUGGUCUGAGAGGAUGGUCAGCCACACGGGAACUGAGACACGGUCCAGACUCCUACGGGAGGCAGCAGUGGGGAAUAUUGGACAAUGGGCGCAAGCCUGAUCCAGCCAUACCGCGUGGGUGAAGAAGGCCUUCGGGUUGUAAAGCCCUUUUGUUGGGAAAGAAAAGCAGCAGGUUAAUACCCCGCUGUUCUGACGGUACCCAAAGAAUAAGCACCGGCUAACUUCGUG
rnacentral:rRNA from 1 species